UGACAAGUCAUAUUCUUGAAGAGAAUUGGAGAAGCUCGAAAGUGGAUUUAAAUUUAAUGGACCGAUUGAUGCAAAUCAAUCAAAGUAAAGAAGUGGACUUUGGAGUAAAUAAGGACAAGGUUAAGAAAUUAUGAGAUAGAGUUCGUGUAUCGGAUUUAACCAAGCACGAGAAGAAGAUUAUAAGAGAAAGUUACGGUCGGAAAUCUGGAUGGUGAAAUCAUUAAAUGAAAAAAAAUAUAUAUAUAUGUCGGAGAAUUUCACGAAAUUUUGGAAGGUAAGAUGAGGUUAAGUACAAGAGUCAUUAACGGAAGAAUGGAAUAAGAAAGUUAAUCGUUGGAAGGACGUGUUAAGAACGAGUAAUGGAGGAGUCUUAUCCGGGGUUGUUUUAGUCAGGUAAUUUUCGAGGGCGAAAAUUCUGUAAGUGGGGGAGAGUUGUAACAUCCCAAUUUUUAUUAUUAGAAUAUUUAUUUAUUGUGGCGUGUAACUUUCGUAAUUGAAUAUUUCGGUAUUUAUGAGUUUAGACUUAAACUGCUAACUAGAGUAAUUAAUAGAUGAGAAUUUCUUUAUGGAGCUUUAGGUAAGUUGUGCCUAAAAUAAAUAGAAUGAGUAUUAUGUUAGUAAGUUAGUAGAAUGGGGGGUGUGAAUUGGAAUUUUGUAGAAAACCUAACUAUAAAAGCUAGUUAGUAAGAGAAAGAGUCAUUAUUCACAUUUCUUAGGGAAGUUAGAAAGAGAGGCUCUAGAAACAAAGGGAGGAAGAAACGAAGAAGUGAGAACCAAGCUCAAAGAACAACCAAGCUUCCAUUUUUCAAGCUUCAUUAGAGAUUAUCAGGUUGUGUAUGUUUGUCGGUGUUCGAGUUGUUGGUGAAGCUCCGCUAUGAUUAUGACACGGGGAAGGGUUUAUCGAGUCUUGUACUUGUAUUCUUAUUUUAUUGUAAAUGUAUUAUUUUAGAAAAUAAUUUUUAUUAAGCGAGGUUUAUGCUAAUUAGCAAUGUUCUUGAAGUAUGUAAUACCUUAAACCACUAUUUUAUAUUUUAACUUCGACUUCGAGUCGUUUUAAUUUUAUUA